UGUCAUUACUGUUUCUCCUCUCUGGGUUGAAGGUAGGGUGAGACUGUCAUUACUGUUUCUCCUCUCUGGGUUGAAGGUAGAGUGAGACUAAGGAGUUGUGAGUUAUUUUUGCUGUUGUCUUCAGUACUGAAGUCAGUCAGUUCUAUUGGCAGUAUAGAAGUAGUGAGACCUGUAAACGUGUCUUUGUCUGAGGUAAGAUACAUUACCUAAAAUCACUGUCGAUCGAUCUAUCUAAGUCUAUUAUAUAUAUUCAUUGGAUGGUUUCUGCUGAAAAUCUGACCCACAGUGGCUGGUUGCUGUGCAUUGUGGUUCACUGGCACUCAUUUUCAUUUGUUGUCUCUGUGUGAAGUCUGGAAGGAAUUCCUCGGGUUUUGUUAGUCUUACAACACGGUUAACCUGUUGCUGGCUAAUAAAAUAAUGUCAGAAAAACA